CCAAUAGCGUAUAUUAAAGUUGUUGCAGUUAAAAAGCUCGUAGUUGAAUUUCGGGAUCAAGGGAUUGGUCAUGCCUCGGUAUGCACUGGUCUUAUUGGUUCUCACCUUCUAAGGAACCAUGAUGUCAUUCAUUUGAUGUUGUGGGGAAUUAGGACUGUUACCUUGAAAAAAUUAGAGUGUUUAAAGCAAGCUUACGCUUGAAUACAUUAGCAUGGAAUAAUGAAAUAGGACAUCAGAUUCUAUUUUGUUGGUUUCUAGGAUCGAUGUAAUGAUUAAUAGGGAUAGUUGGGGGCAUUAGUAUUCAAUUGUCAGAGGUGAAAUUCUUGGAUUUAUUGAAGACUAACUACUGCGAAAGCAUUUGCCAAGGAUGUUUUCAUUAAUCAAGAACGAAAGUUAGGGGAUCGAAGACGAUCAGAUACCGUCGUAGUCUUAACCAUAAACUAUGCCGACUAGGGAUCGGAUGAUGUUAAUUUUUUAAUGACUCAUUCGGCACCUUACG
rnacentral:rRNA from 1 species